GACGAACGCUGGCGGCGUGCUUAACACAUGCAAGUCGAACGGAAAGGCCCUGCUUGCAGGGUACUCGAGUGGCGAACGGGUGAGUAACACGUGGGUGAUCUGCCCUGCACUUCGGGAUAAGCCUGGGAAACUGGGUCUAAUACCGGAUAGGAGCCAUUUUUAGUGUGAUGGUUGGAAAGUUUUUUCGGUGUAGGAUGAGCUCGCGGCCUAUCAGCUUGUUGGUGGGGUAAUGGCCUACCAAGGCGGCGACGGGUAGCCGGCCUGAGAGGGUGGACGGCCACAUUGGGACUGAGAUACGGCCCAGACUCCUACGGGAGGCAGCAGUGGGGAAUAUUGCACAAUGGGCGCAAGCCGUAUGCAGCGACGCCGCGUGGGGGAUGACGGCCUUCGGGUUGUAAACUCCUUUCGCUAGGGACGAAGCUUUUUGUGACGGUACCUAGAUAAGAAGCACCGGCUAACUACGUG
rnacentral:rRNA from 1 species